rnacentral:rRNA from 1 species
GUAGGUGGCAAGCGUUGUCCGGAAUUAUUGGGCGUAAAGCGCGCGCAGGGCGGUCCUUUAAGUCUGAUGUGAAAGCCCACGGCUCAACCGUGGAGGGUCAUUGGAAACUGGGGGACUUGAGUACAGAAGAGGAAAGCGGAAUUCCAAGUGUAGCGGUGAAAUGCGUAGAGAUUUGGAGGAACACCAGUGGCGAAGGCGGCUUUCUGGUCUGUAACUGACGCUGAGGCGCGAAAGCGUGGGGAGCAAACAGGAUUAGAUACCCUGGUAGUCCACGCCGUAAACGAUGAGUGCUAAGUGUUAGGGGGUUUCCGCCCCUUAGUGCUGCAGCUAACGCAUUAAGCACUCCGCCUUGGGAGUACGGCCGCAAGGCUG